CCGAGUGAGGGCCUCUGGCCCGACCUCCAACCCUUUGUUGACCGAAACCUGUUGCCUCGGGGGCGACCCGGCCUUCGUGCCGGGGCCCCCGGUGGACCAACCCAACUCUGUGUCUGUACGUCGGAGUACUUGAUGAAUCAAUCA
rnacentral:misc_RNA from 1 species